GUAAGGAUGACCCGUGAAGUCAGUGAAACUCUUUCAAAACCUUCCCUGCAAUGUCUUAAGGAAACACGAGCAUGUGCAGAGUGAGAAUCACAGGAAGUCAACAGUAACAACUCGGCCAGAGACGUGUUAACUCACCCGCGCAGCCUCUUGUGCCAGGUGGAGUUGGGAAGUGAAGUGAGUGUCCUGAGUGGUGAGUGUGACGCGCUCAAACACACACUCCUGCACCUGGGCAACCAUCAGACGUACCAGCAUGCAGAGCGACGGACCGCUCAUGUCCAGACUGGGAGCGUUGGAGAAAUUCUCUUUGAGAGCUACUCCAGAGCCCUCAAACAGGAAAAAAGAAAAGGAGCUUCCUGCUGUUGGCUUCACACUCAGAUGACACAGUGGGGUCGAACAGGCCUGUGAGCCUCUAUGAAGCAGAGUGCUGGUGGUGAUGCAGGGGCCCAUCUACAGCUGCCUGCCCUGCCUCCCAAACAUGUGGCCACCUUCUUCUGCCACCCUCCAUUACUUUUCUCACUCAUUAAAAUUGCACUAUGUUAAACUGUUGGAUCUGUAUUGCCUAAAUGAUUUUCUCAUACAAUAUUUUGAAGCAAUAAUACUAAGGUCAACGGGAAAAGGUUAGCCUAUUGUCAUAUGUUUGAUUGUUACGGCCAUUAUUUUAUAUAUGAACAGUAAAAAAAAGUAUUCUUACUUCUCAGUGUAUGGGAAAUAAAAUAGAUGUUGACC